CCUACGGGUGGCAGCAGUGAGGAAUAUUGGUCAAUGGCCGGAAGGCUGAACCAGCCAUGCCGCGUGAAGGUCAGUGCCCUAUGGGCGUUAAACUUCUUUUGUGCGGGAGCAAUAAUGGUCACGUGUGGCCAGACGAGAGUACCGUACGAUUCAGCAUCGGCUAACUCCGUGCCAGCAGCCGCGGUAAUACGGGGGAUGCAAGCGUUAUCCGGAUUUAUUUGGUUUAAAGGGUGCGUCGGCUGGGAGGUAAGUCAGCGGUGAAAUGCCCCCGCUCAACGGGGUGAAGUGCCAUUGAUACUGCCUUGCUGGAAGGCGGAUGCCGUGGGAGGAAGGUGUGGUGUAGCGGUGAAAUGCAGAG
rnacentral:rRNA from 1 species